GGUAUGUGGCUCAACUGGUAGUGCGCUCGCCUGGCAUGCGCGGAGCGCUGGGUUCGAUCCUCAACACCA
rnacentral:tRNA from 1 species